rnacentral:lncRNA from 1 species
AACGGGGGACGAUCGGAAGUCACCACCACCAAAUAAUACCAUGCCCACAUCCAAUGGCCCUACAGGUGGAAGUCCCGAGAGGUCUUCUGGAUCUUCGACAAAUGCCUCUGGAUCUGCUGUGACUGGUGCCAGU